ensembl:lncRNA
CACGUUUCUGCGAGUGUGGACUUCUGUUUCACUAUAUGUCCCCACACACACACACACACACCCAACCCCUCUCCUCUAAUCGCCUUAUGCUUUCACUUUUCCUCCCAGGAAGUGAUUUACUGUCAAACACAUUCCAACAGCCAGCCAGCUACAGACACUGAGCUAUCCCAACACACCGGGGCUUUUUGGAUUUCCACAUCUUUUCUUCGGUGCAUUGAUUGGGAUGCUGGGUAAUUGACGACGAAAAAAAAUGUACAUUUGAAGUGCAACUUCCACAUGUCCUCACUCACUCUUUUCUUCGUCCCCUCUUUGUCCCGACGUGUUUUUCCUCCUCUUCCCUCCUGCCUCUGCAUCCGAGUUGGAAACAUCCUGCAUAUCGACAAAGACACAGCUGGUGUGGGUCUGCACGCGGCCCGGCUGAUCCAGCUUUAUUUCUGCCCCUCUCCUCGUGACGCAGCCGAGCUCUGGAGCAGAUGGCUGCAGUGUUCAAUUGAAUUCUGCCAUUGUGCCGCUCGUAAUUGGUGCUCGCGAGCAAGUGCC